GCCCCUCCCCCCCCCCCAAUUCUUGGGUGUCGGACAAGGAACAUAUUCAAGAAACCUCAUCAAUUUAGAGAAUCACUCCCAAAAGAAUUCAACUACAAUUGACAUCUUGACGUCGUGGUCCACAGCAUGAAUCCUAACGUACAGAACCUAGCUCUAAGUUCACCCGGAGGAGCAAAAUGACAGCUGAUAACUCAACAGGGAGACACAGAGGAUGCACUCAGCACGACUGAGACAGAGAGUGCAGCCGCUGAAGGCUGGCUAUACAGGGAGACAGAGCAGCACCGCGGGAAGCCUCAGCUGCUGUGGAGUCAAUGCCAGGCCCUGUGGAGGAUUCUUCUAAGGCAAGGCUGGGCCUCAGGCAGAACCAUGGACCAUCUCCAGGCCUUGAACAGAACCCGGAGGUCACAAGGGGGUGGCAAUCAACCAAGGAGACAGUAAAGGCUGUCGGUUCCUGCUACUCAGCCCACUGCUCAGGCCAGGUCUGCUGCCGCGGAGUCGAGACUGUCGGUCCCAUGACCGUCAGAAGCUCCUUAUUUCCGUCAGAAGUUCCUCUGCCAAGCCACCGAGGAUGGAUGCGGAAGAGGGGGUUUUGUUUUGUUACUGGUUUUUACUAGCUUGCCCCUUGGGGCUAGCCUGCCAGGCUGGAGGUAUCGUUAACAAUGAAACCAUGGCCGAAUCAA